GCUGGACAAAGGGCCGAGGGGCCCUUGCUGCUGGCUCAGCAGCUGCCUCUGUGUGUUACCCACAACAGUGGCUACAGGUCGUCACAAGGCACACCAUCAAAAACACUGGGAAAGCAAGAUUCCCUUCUGCCUCCGCCGUCCCUCCGCAUCCUGCUAACCCCUCCAUCUCACGAGCAGUCGAGCUCCCUAAGUGUGAAGAAUUUGGUCUCCAAGCUGUGCUCCCCCACUGGCCGGGACCUGGGUGCCUCGCAGGUGGCAGCGGAGGCUGGUGGCCUGGCCCUGAGCGCUCAGGCCCUGAAGGAGAUGGCUGUGAGCACCAAGAGCAUUGCCCUCAUCGCAGCCACCCGGCGCUCCAAAGCACAGGACCGCGAGGGUGGCGGUGGCCGCUCCUCCAUCCGCCUUCUGGAGGAGGUGGCCCUGGACUCCAGGGACCCGAAGGCCAGUGUCACCCCAGACCCAAGCCCAGCAGACAGGAGGUGGCCCCUUGCCAGCCCGGGCAAGGACUGUUCUACGGAGAGGAAGGCCAGGAGGAAGCGGUCACCCUCCCUCACCUGGAGCGUGCAGACGGCAGCAGAGCAUGGGGCUGAGAGCCAGCCGUCCCCAGCAGUCCUGCAGCUCACCAAGUCAUCUGGAAAAAGCUUCUUCCCUCCCGUCCCCGCGGCCUCCAAGAUAAAACCCAGCCUCAGUUCCCACACAGAGGAGAAGAUGCUCCAGAUGCCCGAGGUCAGCUUCACCUUCCCCAGCGCCACGUGGCAGAGCAGCCCGGGCCCAAGCAGGGCCCCACUCUUGCCCCGGGACAUCCGAGGGUCUACGGAUAGUGGAGGCCGACACCACAGCCCACUGCCUCCCAGCACACCCCGCAAGCCCCGGGGCAGCGCCAAGCGGCCGAGAAGGCCACAAUGAGGAUGUCAGCCAGAAGGCCAGGCAUGCGAGGGAAGGCCGGAGAGGCCAGCCCCAGGCACAGGGCUCUCUCUGCCCUGGAGUUGGGUUCAAGAGACGGAGCCCUGGCAAGGACACUUCAGGGGGCAGCCAGCCAGCUUCCCACUGCUCUCUGUGCUGGCGGCUGCCUCACCAACCAUGUCAGAGGGAAGGCCGUUGAUGGAACAUCAGAGCCCUUCUGAAGGACAUCUCAGGAGGAGCCUCAGGCCUCGUUUGGGUCAUUCCCAGUUGUGAGUGAUCUUCCCAGGAUCACUCCAUCCCACAGUUUCUGCUCUGGGAGAACGGUUUCACUCUUCACCUGAUUGGGUGAGGCCCACCCACACUGUGGCAGGUCCUCUGCUGAACCCGACAUCUCCUUACUGAUGUAUUUAUUUUUUAAAGAUUUUAUUUGUUUGUUCAUGAGAGACACAGAGAGAGGCAGAGACACAGGUAGAGGGAGAAGCAGGGAGCCCGAUGCAGGACUUGAUCCCAGGACCCUGGGAUCACAACCUGGGCCAAAGGCAGAUGCUCAACCAUUGAGCCACCAGGGCACUUCUCCUUACUGAUUUAAAUGUUAAUCUCAUCUGAAGAACACCUUCACAGCACCACUGACUGCUGAUGUUUGAUGAAACGCCUGGGUAUCAUGGCCUGGCCAUGUUGAUGUUUCAAAUUCACCGUCACGCCCCAUGGGCCUUGGCCAGUAGAGUGACACCACCCUGUCCCCAUGUUCACAUAGGCUCUGGGGGAAGCCUGCAUUGGGGAAGCAUGAGAACACUCCCCAUUCUCGUGACCCAUCCAUCCUGUCACUGUGUUGUAACGUCCGUCCCCACACACCACGGCAUGGAGGACAUUGAAGCAGAAUCGUCAAGGAGCAUGAAGCCAGCCGUGUUAACCGGGAACCCAGAAAUUGAGGCCCUAACUUUUUGUCAAGACAGGAAAGUCUGGGAAACUCUGAGCACCACCCGUGGAGGGCUGAAUUAUCGCCUUCUCCAGCUGUGCUUUCAGCGCUUGCUGUGGCUUUCAAACCACUGCCUACAUCUCGGGCUCUCAGAGGCAUCCCCAUUUGGAGGCCAUGGGGACCAGAGCUACCUCCGAUGCAGCAUCCAGUGGAAUCUAUGGGUUUUAGGAAACAGCUUGUUAGCACAUUAGGGCUGGAAGGUGGAGGCGUGUUGUUGUCUCACGGCCUGAGCAGUCAGCAGGUUGGCUUGGACCUGUGUAUGCCUGGCACAUGGCAGACACCCUAUAAGUGUGCAAACUGCACAGCUGGAUGCCCUGCCCUCUCAUCGUAGGACCUGCGGUCAAGGAGGAGCUGCUGGGCCUUCUGGAAGAGUGUGUGGAGGUGGGGAAGUCAGUCCCACUUAUCUUUGGGGGCUCUGCUGUCUGCUUGGUGCAGACCUGCCAGGGGCACCCUCUGAUGCUCACUUCCCCUUCCCUGGGGGAAAUGCUGAGCCUGGGGGGCAAGGAUGACUUCUGCUUUCCUGCCCUGGCCCCAGAUCCUGGGUAGGGCAAGAGUUACUGGUUGCCCCCUAUAUCUGCUCACUUUGUUCCAGGAUAAUAGAACCCCUCAUUUUUAGCUAGUCAAACAGCUCACAAAAUAAGGACUGUAUUUCCCAGCCUCCUUUGUGGCUGUAUAUUGCCAUGUAACCAAGUGACAGAUGGGAUACAAGCAGCUGCUUCCAGGAAUCUUCACCACAAAGGAUAAUACGCAUUUUCCUCAUGCCUCUUUCCUUCUUCACUUCCUCAAUCAUACUGCCUGGAAUUUGGAUGUGAUGGCUGGAGCUCUAGCCACCGUUUUGAGGCCUUGAGGACAGAGGCCUUGAGGACAAAGGCCGUGCCCUCAGGAGGAUGGAGUGGGAAGCUGGAAGGAGCAGAGAUGCCUCUCAGCAUUGUUACACCCUACCCGCAGAUGAGAACUUGAGAGGAAUAAAUGUGUAUCCGAGGCUCA
ensembl:lncRNA